rnacentral:rRNA from 1 species
AGGAUUAACGCUGGCGGCGUGCAUGAGACAUGCAAGUCGAACGGACGAGUGGGCUUGCUCACUCGUUAGUGGCGGACGGCUGAGUAACGCGUAGGUGACCUGCCCCGAAGUGGGGAAUAACUGCCCGAAAGGGUGGCUAAUACCGCAUGUGGUGCCACGUUCAUUCGUGUCUCCAAAGCCGCAAGGCGCUUCGGGAGGGGCCUGCGUCCGAUUAGCUCGUUGGUGGGGUAAUGGCUCACCAAGGCGACGAUCGGUAGGUGGUCUGAGAGGACGAUCACCCAGACUGGGACUGAGACACGGCCCAGACUCCUACGGGAGGCAGCAGUCGGGAAUUUUGCUCAAUGGGCGCAAGCCUGAAGCAGCAACGCCGCGUGGGGGAUGACGGCCUUCGGGUUGUAAACCUCUUUUCCCGGGGACGAUGAUGACGGUACUCGGGGAAUAAGUCACGGCUAACUACGUGCCAGCAGCCGCGGUAAUACGUAGGUGACGAGCGUUGUCCGGAUUUACUGGGCGUAAAGAGCGCGCAGGCGGUCGUACAAGUCGAGUGUGAAAUCCCCCGGCUCAACUGGGGAACGUCGCUCGAUACUGUUCGACUUGAAGGCGGGAGAGGGAAGCGGAAUUCCCGGUGUAGUGGUGAAAUGCGUAGAUAUCGGGAGGAACACCAGUGGCGAAGGCGGCUUUCUGGCCCGUUCUUGACGCUGAGGCGCGAAAGCUAGGGUAGCAAACGGGAUUAGAUACCCCGGUAGUCCUAGCCGUAAACGAUGGACACUAGGUGUUGGUGGUAUCAACCCCGCCAGUGCCGAAGCUAACGCAUUAAGUGUCCCGCCUGGGGAGUACGGCCGCAAGGCUAAA